CUCCAGGAUAAGUGCUUUAACUCUCUUUGAAGAUGCCAAGAGAAGAUGGUCUUCUGGGAGAAUGUGAGUUAUAAUGCCAAUAGCACGUUCAGCAUGGAAUAGUGCAUUGUCAAAUUUUCCAGAGCUGUACUGGUGAACAUAAGAAGAGUAAGCCAAAUCUUCGUGAGCUGUAGCUACAUGUAUGUUUUUACCUCCAAAUACUGACUGUCGAAUAUCAAGAGCUGUCUGAUAUAUGGCAACAGAUUGGCAUAUAUUGUCUACGUUGAGCAAAUAAAAUCCAUAGUCUAGUAGUGUAUCAGAAUAUUUGGGGUGCUUGGCUCCAAAAUGCUCCCGGGCAAGAUACACUGCGUGUUUUAUCAGCUGUUCAGCCUUCUUAAACUCACGUUUUACAACACAAGCCUUAGAAGCUUGUCUCAAAACAUCCACUACUACUUUUACAGGCAGGCCAACUGUGAUCUCCUUCAUAGCUUCUAUACACCACUUGUAAGCCUCAUCAUAGUGGCUCUUGGCAAAAAGCAGUGCACACAGUUCC
rnacentral:lncRNA from 1 species